UGAGAUUUCACAAAACAAUAAUAUCAAGCAUAUAAUUCAAUAAUUAUAUUUAACAACACAAGUAACUUCAUCUAUUAGUAAUAAUAAUUCUUCAUGUAUAAUUCUUAAUAGUCCAACCAACUUCUAAUUAUCAUUUACUUCAUAUUCACCACAUUAUAACAUAAUCAUAUAACACGUAUUAACCAAAUCAUAACAACAUAGAUCAUCACAUCAUACUCAUAGUUCAUAUUCAACAUAACA
rnacentral:lncRNA from 1 species